CCAUAUCUUCAGAAAAAAAAAUUCACUUCUACUGUCGUGGUAAACAACCUGCUUCCCUAUUUAUAAUGGUCUGGCUCUCUAGUAACUUCAGCACGAAAAUAUAGCUAAUUUGCCUACAAACAUCCGGUGGUCAUAAUAAUCUGGCC